GACGAACGCUAGCGGCGUGCUUAACACAUGCAAGUCGAACGGAAAGGCCCUGCUUUUGUGGGGUGCUCGAGUGGCGAACGGGUGAGUAACACGUGAGUAACCUGCCCUUGACUUUGGGAUAACUUCAGGAAACUGGGGCUAAUACCGGAUAGGAGCUCCUGCUGCAUGGUGGGGGUUGGAAAGUUUCGGCGGUUGGGGAUGGACUCGCGGCUUAUCAGCUUGUUGGUGGGGUAGUGGCUUACUAAGGCUUUGACGGGUAGCCGGCCUGAGAGGGUGACCGGCCACAUUGGGACUGAGAUACGGCCCAGACUCCUACGGGAGGCAGCAGUGGGGAAUAUUGCACAAUGGGCGGAAGCCUGAUGCAGCAACGCCGCGUGCGGGAUGACGGCCUUCGGGUUGUAAACCGCUUUCGCCUGUGACGAAGCGUGAGUGACGGUAAUGGGUAAAGAAGCACCGGCUAACUACGUG
rnacentral:rRNA from 1 species